UACGAAGGGGGCUAGCGUUGCUCGGAAUCACUGGGCGUAAAGCGCACGUAGGCGGCUUUUUAAGUCAGGGGUGAAAUCCUGGAGCUCAACUCCAGAACUGCCUUUGAUACUGAGAAGCUUGAGUCCGGGAGAGGUGAGUGGAACUGCGAGUGUAGAGGUGAAAUUCGUAGAUAUUCGCAAGAACACCAGUGGCGAAGGCGGCUCACUGGCCCGUAACUGACGCUGAGGCACGAAAGCGUGGGGAGCAAACAGGG
rnacentral:rRNA from 1 species